GACAAACGCUGGCGGCGUGCUUAACACAUGCAAGUCGAACGGAAAGGCCCUGCUUGCAGGGUACUCGAGUGGCGAGCGGGUGAGUAACACGUGGGUGAUCUGCCCUGCACUUCGGGAUAAGCUUGGGAAACUGGGUCUAAUACCGGAUAGGAACCAUCUUUAGUGUGGUGGUUGGAAAGUUUUUUCGGUGUAGGAUGAGCUCGCGGCCUAUCAGCUUGUUGGUGGGGUAAUGGCCUACCAAGGCGGCGACGGGUAGCCGGCCUGAGAGGGUGUACGGCCACAUUGGGACUGGGAUACGGCCCAGACUCCUACGGGAGGCAGCAGUGGGGAAUAUUGCACAAUGGGCGCAAGCCUGAUGCAGCGACGCCGCGUGGGGGAUGAAGGCCUUCGGGUUGUAAACUCCUUUCGCUAGGGACGAAGCUUUGUUGUGACGGUACCUAGAUAAGAAGCACCGGCUAACUACGUG
rnacentral:rRNA from 1 species